rnacentral:rRNA from 1 species
UACGAAGGGGGCGAGCGUUGUUCGGAUAUACUGGGCGUAAAGCGCACGUAGGCGGCGCAGCAAGUCAGGGUGAAAUCCCGGAGCUCAACUCCGGAACUGCCUUUGAAACUGCAGUGCUAGAAUCCUGGAGAGGCGAGUGGAAUUCCGAGUGUAGAGGUGAAAUUCGUAGAUAUUCGGAAGAACACCAGUGGCGAAGGCGACUCGCUGGACAGGUAUUGACGCUGAGGUGCGAAAGCGUGGGGAGCAAACAGG